rnacentral:rRNA from 1 species
UACAGGGGGUGCAAACGUUGCUCGGAAUCAUUGGGCGUAAAGCGCACGUAGGCGGUUCGUUAUGUCGGAUGUGAAAGCCCUUGGCUUAACCGAGGAAGUGCAUCCGAAACUGGCGAGCUAGAGUACGAAAAGAGGAUCGCGGAAUUCCCGGUGUAGAGGUGAAAUUCGUAGAUAUCGGAAGGAACACCGAUGGCGAAAGCAGCGUGCUGGACCUUUUCUGACGCUGAGGCGCGAAAGCCAGGGGAGCAAACGGG